rnacentral:sRNA from 1 species
UUAGUGACUAGCAAUACCGGGGAUUGCC